UAGGGAAUCUUCGGCAAUGGGGGGCAACCCUGACCGAGCAACGCCGCGUGAGUGAAGAAGGUUUUCGGAUCGUAAAGCUCUGUUGUAAGAGAAGAACGUGUGUGAGAGUGGAAAGUUCACACAGUGACGGUAACUUACCAGAAAGGGACGGCUAACUACGUGCCAGCAGCCGCGGUAAUACGUAGGUCCCGAGCGUUGUCCGGAUUUAUUGGGCGUAAAGCGAGCGCAGGCGGUUUAAUAAGUCUGAAGUUAAAGGCAGUGGCUUAACCAUUGUUCGCUUUGGAAACUGUUAAACUUGAGUGCAGAAGGGGAGAGUGGAAUUCCAUGUGUAGCGGUGAAAUGCGUAGAUAUAAGGAGAACACCAGUGGCGAAGGCGAUCUACUGGACAGUAACUGACGCUGAGGCGCGAAAGCGUGGGGAGC
rnacentral:rRNA from 1 species